rfam:Nippostrongylus brasiliensis genome assembly, scaffold: NBR_scaffold0000082
GUCUCCGUAGCAUUGAGGUUAGUGUACAGCCCCGGAUAGGUUGAGACGCGGGUUCGAAUCCCGCCCGAGAUG